GCUGAGUAGCUCAGUGGCAGAGUGAGUGCUUAGUAUGCAUGAGGCCCUGGGUUCGAACCCCAGCACCAAUA
rnacentral:tRNA from 1 species